rnacentral:rRNA from 1 species
UACGAAGGGGGCUAGCGUUGUUCGGAAUCACUGGGCGUAAAGGGCGCGUAGGCGGCCCUCUUAGUCGCGUGUGAAAGCCCCGGGCUCAACCUGGGAACGGCGCGCGAAACGGGAGGGCUGGAGUUCGGGAGAGGAGAGUGGAAUUCCCAGUGUAGAGGUGAAAUUCGUAGAUAUUGGGAAGAACACCGGUGGCGAAGGCGGCUCUCUGGACCGGUACUGACGCUGAUGCGCGAAAGCGUGGGGAGCGAACAGG